rnacentral:rRNA from 1 species
UACGUAGGGUGCAAGCGUUGUCCGGAAUUAUUGGGCGUAAAGAGCUCGUAGGCGGUUUGGUAGGUCCGCUGUGAAAACUCGAGGCUCAACCUCGAGACGCCGGUGGAAACCAUCAGACUAGAGUCCGGAAGAGGAGAGUGGAAUUCCCGGUGUAGCGGUGAAAUGCGCAGAUAUCGGGAGGAACACCGGUGGCGAAGGCGGUUCUCUGGGCCUGUACUGACGCUGAGGAGCGAAAGCGUGGGGGAGCGAACAGG